CGCGGCCUAUCAGCUUGUUGGUGAGGUAAUGGCUCACCAAGGCUUCGACGGGUAGCCGGCCUGAGAGGGCGACCGGCCACACUGGGACUGAGACACGGCCCAGACUCCUACGGGAGGCAGCAGUGGGGAAUAUUGCGCAAUGGGCGAAAGCCUGACGCAGCAACGCCGCGUGGGGGAUGAAGGCUUUCGGGUUGUAAACCCCUUUCAGUGAUGACGAAAAUGACGGUAAUCACAGAAGAAGCCCCGGCCAACUACGUGCCAGCAGCCGCGGUAACACGUAGGGGGCAAGCGUUGUCCGGAUUUAUUGGGCGUAAAGAGCUCGUAGGCGGUUGCGUAAGUCGGAUGUGAAAACUCAGGGCUCAACCCUGAGAUGCCAUUCGAUACUGCGCUGACUAGAGUCCGGUAGAGGAGCAUGGAAUUCCUGGUGUAGCGGUGAAAUGCGCAGAUAUCAGGAGGAACACCAGUAGCGAAGGCGGUGCUCUGGGCCGGUACUGACGCUGAGGAGCGAAAGCAUGGGUAGCAAACAGGAUUAGAUACCCUGGUAGUCCAUGCCGUAAACGUUGGGCACUAGGUGUGGGACCUACUUAACGGGUUCCGUGCCGUAGCUAACGCAUUAAGUGCCCCGCCUGGGGAGUACGG
rnacentral:rRNA from 1 species